GCGGCGCGCCGCCAGGAACCCCCGCGCCACCGCCGCCGCGCCUGCCUCCAGCAGCUCUCGGCCACGCGACCGUGCGGUCAGCGGCGCUUGGAGGGCGGCCGGAGCUGGGCCUGAGCCUGGAGACUCGCCUGAUCCCGGGCGGCCGAACCACCAUCACCACAAUCGCCCCACCCCCGCCGUCGCCUCGUGGGGCCCCGGCCCCCUCCUAGGUCCCCUUCUCUCCUCAGACAUGGUGAGAUGUACUCGGAUCUAGAGCAGGCAGCUGGCCAGAGACCCACAGGGAGCUCAGUGAUUGGCCUCAGAUGACCUUGGGGACAAAGAUUGUCCUGUGAAGGGAAGUGAUGGCACGGGCUCUGAUCAGCUCUUCUGGGAACAGACAGAGAAGUGAGAAUUCCUGCCAAAGCCACAGGAUGAACACAGAGCCAAGAACCUGAACCAGAAAAAUCCAGCAGGAAAGGAAACUGCACUGGCCACCAUCCUGAGGCUGCUGUACAAGGAACAAUCCUACCGACUCGGCAGGAGACCAGGGGACAUGGGCCCCAGCCCCACCUGCUUGUCUAGGAUCUCCUUCCUUUCUGCUUGUGCCACAUCUUUCAGGCCCGUUCUGGGUCUGAUGUG
rnacentral:lncRNA from 1 species